rnacentral:misc_RNA from 1 species
GCACAUCCAGACAGUAAUGUUUAUAGUUUUGGUGUGAUAUUAUUUGAAAUGAUAACAGGAAGGAUACCUUACUCAGUGGACAAUGGCACACUUGAAGACUGGGCAUCAGACUAUUUGAGAGGGGAUCAAUCCCUGAAAGACAUGGUUGAUCCGACGCUAGACUCCUUUGAAGAGGAAAAGGUGGAAAGAAUUGGUGAAGUGAUAAAAUCUUGUGCCCAUCCGGAUCCAGAGCAAAGACCAGCAAUGAGAGAAGUUACUGCAAGAUUAAGAGAGAUAACAGGAAUAACACUGGAUGCAGCAACCCCAAAACUUUCUCCUUUAUGGUGGGCAGAGCUUGAAAUUUCAUCACCGGAUGCUAGCUAAAAGAGAGACCAGACUGUAAGUAUGAGCUCAAGUGCCGUCGGCCAUUAGUGAGACGUAAAAAAGCAGUUGUUUAUAAGUUUAUACCCCUGUAUCUGAGAGUUGCUUGUAUAUAACUUAGGA